rnacentral:rRNA from 1 species
UCAAUAAGCGGAGGAAAAGAAACCAACAGGGAUUACCUCAGUAACGGCGAGUGAAGCGGUAACAGCUCAAAUUUGAAAGCUAGCUCUUUGAGGGUUCGCAUUGUAAUUUGUAGAAGAUGCUUCGGGUGUGGCCCCGGUCUAAGUUCCUUGGAACAGGACGUCAUAGAGGGUGAGAAUCCCGUAUGUGACUGGGUGCUUUCGCUCAUGUGAAGCUCUUUCGACGAGUCGAGUUGUUUGGGAAUGCAGCUCUAAAUGGGUGGUACAUUUCAUCUAAAGCUAAAUAUUGGCCAGAGACCGAUAGCGCACAAGUAGAGUGAUCGAAAGAUGAAAAGCACUUUGGAAAGAGAGUUAAACAGUACGUGAAAUUGUUGAAAGGGAAGCGCUUGCAACCAGACUUGCGCGCUGAUGAUCAUCCGGGCUUCUGCCCGGUGCACUCGUCUGCGCUCAGGCCAGCAUCGGUUUCGGUGGUGGGAUAAAGGCCUUGGGAAUGUAGCUCCUCUCGGGGAGUGUUAUAGCCCUCGGUGCAAUGCCGCCUACCGGGACCGAGGACCGCGCUUCGGCUAGGAUGCUGGCGUAAUGGUUGUAAGCGACCCGUCUUGAAACACGGACCAAGGAGUCUAACAUCUAUGCGAGUGUUUGGGUGUCAAACCCAUACGCGUAAUGAAAGUGAACGGAGGUGAGAACCCUUAAGGGUGCAUCAUCGACCGGUCCUGAUGUCUUCGGAUGGAUCUGAGUAAGAGCAUAGCUGUUGGGACCCGAAAGAUGGUGAACUAUGCGUGAAUAGGGUGAAGCCAGAGGAAACUCUGGUGGAGGCUCGCAGCGGUUCUGACGUGCAAAUCGAUCGUCAAAUUUGCGUAUAGGGGCGAAAGAC